rnacentral:rRNA from 1 species
GUCCACGCCGUAAACGAUGGGCACUAGGUGUGGGGGUGUCGACUCCCUCCGUGCCGAAGCUAAUGCAUUAAGUGCCCCGCCUGGGGAGUACGGCCGCAAGGCUAAAACUCAAAGGAAUUGACGGGGACCCGCACAAGCAGCGGAGCAUGUGGUUCAAUUCGACGCAACGCGAAGAACCUUACCUGGGCUUGACAUGUGGAUGACCGCCGUGGAAACACGGCUUCCCUUCGGGGCAUCUUCACAGGUGGUGCAUGGCUGUCGU